rnacentral:sRNA from 1 species
GGAUCCACCAGAAAACCUUCACUUGUCUGAAAGACAGAACAGGAGUGUUCGGCUGACCUGGGAAGCUGGAGCUGACCACAAUAGCAAUAUUAGCGAGUAUAUUGUUGAAUUUGAAGGAAACAAAGAAGAGCCUGGAAGGUGGGAGGAACUGACCAGAGUCCAAGGAAAGAAAACCACAGUUAUCUUACCUUUGGCUCCAUUUGUGAGCUACCAGUUCAGGGUCAUAGCCGUGAAUGAAGUAGGGAGAAGUCAACCUAGCCAGCCGUCAGACCAUCAUGAAACACCACCAGCAGCUCCAGAUAGGAAUCCACAAAACAUAAGGGUUCAAGCCUCUCAACCCAAGGAAAUGAUUAUAAAGUGGGAGUAAUUCUGAGGAUGAUCUUGUGAAGAAAGCAUCACGAACGCCUUAUUCUAGAUCUGGAGAUGGCAUCCAGGAUUAUGAAUGUCUUGCCCAUCACCACACAACCAGAAAUCCACAAAGCUAGGAUUUAUAUAUGAGGAUCUUUGGACUCCAAACCUCACUUUUUCCUCCUUUACAUAUCUCUGUUAAAUGUUAUUAAAUAGACUUCACCAUUUGAAUUUUGCAUAAAAAUGUCCAUCUACCCAGAUAAUUUUAAUUAUUCUAGGGUCAUUUCCAAAUUUCUUCUGUAACAGUGGGGAAUUUUAUUUUCCCUCUACUACUUGGAUGUAUUCAAUGACCAGUAUAU